rnacentral:rRNA from 1 species
ACGGAAGGCAGCAGUGGGGAAUAUUGCGCAAUGGGGGGAACCCUGACGCAGCAAUACCGCGUGAGUGAAGAAGGUUUUCGGAUCGUAAAACUCUUUUAUCAGGGAAGAAAAAUGACGGUACCUGAUGAAGAAGUCCCGGCUAACUACGUGCCAGCAGCCGCGGUAAUACGUAGGGGACAAGCGUUGUCCGGAAUGACUGGGCGUAAAGGGCGCGUAGGCGGUUUAAUAAGUCUGAUGUGAAAGGUACCGGCUCAACCGGUGACAUGCAUUGGAAACUGUCAAACUUGAGUACUGGAGAGGCAAGCGGAAUUCCUAGUGUAGCGGUGAAAUGCGUAGAUAUUGGGAGGAACACCAGUGGCGAAGGCGGCCUGCUGGGCUUUAACUGACGCUGAGGCACGAAAGUAUGGGGAGCAAACAGGAUUAGAUACCCUGGUA